GAUGAACGCUGGCGGCGUGCCUAAUACAUGCAAGUCGAGCGAACGGACGAGAAGCUUGCUUCUCUGAUGUUAGCGGCGGACGGGUGAGUAACACGUGGAUAACCUACCUAUAAGACUGGGAUAACUUCGGGAAACCGGAGCUAAUACCGGAUAAUAUUUUGAACCGCAUGGUUCAAAAGUGAAAGACGGUCUUGCUGUCACUUAUAGAUGGAUCCGCGCUGCAUUAGCUAGUUGGUAAGGUAACGGCUUACCAAGGCAACGAUGCAUAGCCGACCUGAGAGGGGGAUCGGGCCCACAGGGACUGAGACACGGGCCAGACUCCUAGAGGGGGGAGAGGGAGGGAAACUGCCCCAAAGGGGGAAAGCCGGAGGGGGAAACGCCCGGUGAGUGAUGAAAGGUUUCGGGUGGUAAAACUCUUUUUUUUGGGAAAAAAAUAUGUGUAAAUAAAACUGCGCACCUUGAGGGGACCUAAACAGAAAGCCACGCGUAACUACGU
rnacentral:rRNA from 1 species